ACAUUUAUGAUAUAAGCAUCCGGGGUGGGUUUGACGCGAACCCACUCCCCGUCUGAUUUUCUCUUCACCUCAAGACCUCCAACAUCAUCUUGAGCAAGGACGGUAAGGGCACCGGCGUCCUUGUGUCGGCCGACGCCGAGGGCGAGGUGGGGAGCUGGGCACGGUGGGUAGUGAUUAAGUCUAACAAAGGUGGUUUGAUCUUUGAAGAAGCCAUUGAAACUGUCUGGUGGGAGUCCCAGACUCAGGGCUAUAAGUUCCAUCAACUUGUAAGCAAGUUUUUCCACUUCUUUAGCAUACUCUUCACAUGCCUCUCUGUCAAGCAUAUGCCAAAAGUAAAUAAAUAAAUGAAUACUAUAAUUGCUACAUUAAAUUUUGCAUUAAUCAGAGCAUGCUUGGCUCCAAAAUAUUAUUACGAGCUUUCAAAUUGACCAACAACCAAUUAAAAUUAUUUGAGUGGUACUCAACACUACUCAACUGCUUAUGGUAGUUUAUUUUGCCGACAAAUACCUCUUAUGGACUAUAUAUUGUGACUAUCCUCCACCAUGAGAAAAUUCAGGUCACCAAUUUAGAUUUUCUUAACUUUGAAGCUUAUUAAAUUCGAUAGCACAAAGACACUAAUUAAAAUGCCCAUUAGGUGUUUUAAAAAAAGUACAAACUCUCUUUCGAUUGACUUGCAUAUUAAAGGAUCAGAAUUCUCUUUUAAAUUUAGAAUUCUCUCCAAGUCAUAGUACUCAAGUAUUAAAAUUAAUUUCACCAUCACAAUGUAAGAAAUGAACUUUACCUGAAUUCAGGAGGAUAAUCAGGCCACUGAUUGUACGUCUCAGCUAUUUCCUUGUCCUCAGGAUCAGGUGAAGUUGGCAUCAAACAAGGGCUCUCCACGACAAAAUCAAACACUUCUUUCCAAUCUCUAACAUUUUUGGUAUGCUCGGUGUCAUAAUACCCCACCACCUUCUUCUCAUCUCUCCUCACCUUCCUCUUCUCCUCCAACGGCUGCUCGAAAAACUUCCUCGCCAUAUUUUCUAUGCUCCGGCGCUUAUCCGUGGGCACGCCGUGGUUGAUCACCUGAAAAAACCCCCAGUUCUUGCAUGCAUUGCCUAUUUCCACAACCAGGUCACGAAUGGUACUGUCAGGGUUUUUAAUACUGGUGUUGGUGGCGCUCAAAGCUGAGAGAUCAAUUAAGGGUAUGCCUUCGGCUUCGGUUACGGAGAGUUUAGGCCUGUGCUCAAGGGCUUGAACGAAAGCUUCAUCAACUUCUCCCAUGGCUGGCCAGCUGCAGGUGAUUGAUUCACUACUGAUGAGGUAAAAGUGGUUCUUGAUAUUUAUUUAUGGGGGUGAAGAUAUGGAGAUAACAUAAGAUUGAAUCUAGACUGGAUUUGGGGCAGGUGAGGGAUUGGAGGAUAUAUGUGACGUUUGUGCUUGCAUUGCAUUGCCUGAAUAAUGUGUCCAAGAAAAAAAAAAACGUCAAAAUAUGUAUAAUAUAUGGAAUCUGGAAAACAUUAACAAUUCAAUUUGGAUACGAUACCAUUGACACGUCAGCUCGUUUGCAAUUUAUUUAUGGAAAAUGAUAAACGAGCUCAAAGAAGACAAAAGGACGACAGAAAUGCAGCGUUCAAUUGCCGUUUCACGCGUUGAGUUCUGUUUCUUUUAAUCUUGCGUGGACCCACAAGAAAAAUUAAAAUAAAGAAAAAAGGAAUGGAAAGUUGGUCAUUUCUCCCCCGCCCCAACCACUUAUUUUUCUUUGCUUAGUUUACUCCCCCUCCACUCAUUUUACUCCCCCUCCAUUUGCUUCGUUACCGGACUCUCCCUGGACGACAGCCGCUUCUUGUUCUCGCUGAGCCCCUUCUUUUUUUUUUUUUCUCGCCCAGCCCCAUUUGCUUCGUUACCGGACGACGUCCACUUCUUGUUACCGGAGAUGCAAAUGCAAAGAGGGAACUGAUUUUCCUUCCUAAAUGCAGAUAGCUCACGUUGAGUAAAUGAGAGGUGAGAGAUGGAGAGAGAGGGGACAACAAGAAAAAUUAAUUGUAAAAAAGUCAUCUCUUUCGUUACUUUUGUUUCUUUCUUUUGAUUAUUUUAUUUUUUAAAUCAAAAAAGUAACAGACAAAGAGAGAUGGUGACUGCAGAUGAAGUAACAGACAAAGGGACCCACCCACGUUUCUGUCGUCCCUUUGUCGUCGCAGAAUUCCAAUAGCAGAACUCUUUAUUUAUUUAUUUGCAUUCUUUUUUGUUGCUUGCCCCUCUCUCUCUCUUUCUCUAAUCUAAAAUUUGAAUGCGUCUAAAAUUCUAGGAUCCAAAUAUAUAAAGUUAACUUCUGAAUAUAGUAGAGUUCAUGAAACGCUAAUUUUUACAUUAAAAUAUAGAAUAUUGUCAUUUUACCACCCACUAUUAUAUAUUUAUAUUAUAAUUUAAUUACUUAAUGUCUUCUAACAUAUCACUUUAUCAUCAAAGUUUUUUUAUAAUUAAUUUUUUAUUUUAUGUUUCAAUUUUAUCAUUUUACUACAAAACCGCUAAAAUUAAUAAAAUUUUUGACAAAAUUUAUAAUAAAAGUUUAUUUUAUCCACAAACUAUGUAAAUGUAAUUCAACUCUCUAAAUUAAAAAAAAAUUAAUUAUAUACAAAGAAAUUAUACUUUUAUCAAUUGAUUAUUUUAUACAUUUAAAAUAAUUAGUUGAUAAAGUUAUAAAUACUGAACUUUGUAAAAUUCUUAAAAUAUUGAAUAUAAUGAAAUUCCUAAUAUAUUCUUGUGACACUAGUAAUUUAUUAAUGAAUUUAACAAUUUAGUGGAAAAAUGAUAAAAAUUGAAACAUCAAGUGAGAUGAGUAAUUGUCAAAAACCAAUUAAGUAGUAAGAUGAUAAUAUUCCUAAAAAAAUUAGUUUUAUUCCGUAUAAUGUACAUACACAUGCGUACAUACAUAUAUACAUACAUAUAUACAUACAUACUAUUUGUUGAUGGAGACUGUUAAUUCCUUUAGCUGUUUUGCGAUGGAUUUGAAGGUCUCAACAUUAAAGCUUCUUGAAAUUUCUGAGCUUUCUCAUAUGUAGUGACAAAUUUUGGCCAGCCUACUAGGAUUUUUCCUCAUUUAUUUUAGAGAUUAAAGCUAUUAAAACAAACAAUUUAUUGUGGGAAUUCUUUUAUACAGAUGCUUAAUUAUUUUAUUGGUUUAUUAAAGGGACCUCAAACAGAGAGGAGAUAUUAAAUGUGAAAUUAUGAUGCAUAUUUGACGAAAUGACAAGUGUUUUAAUUUUUAUUCAAUUAUUUUGUCAUCUCACUUUAAUUUUUGUUCAGCUAAAUCAAAGAGUUGAGGGUGUGCCUUUUAAAAGGUGCCCAGAUUCACUUUCAAAAAGUUCCACUACUAUUUUUUCAUAUAUGUUCUUGAAUCUAUUUCUAUAAAAAUAGCAGAAACACUAUUUAAAGCUAAUUUACUCUUAUAAAGUGACCUUUAGACUUCAAUAUUAAAAGAGUAAUCCGUCAUUUUAAUUGAAUAUGAGACUAAUUUUAUUAAUUAUAUAUAUUUUGUUUAGAAUAAUAUUUUUUGAUGUUGCAUUACUUAAUAUACGUAUUUUUUUUUUUAUAUGCACUCACUUUCAUAAAAAUGUAUGCAAUAAAUUUAUAAUUUAACCCCAUGCUAUCAAAGAUCCUGAGUCCAUAAAGUUCCUCUGUUACAUCAAAAUGAUGUAAAUUACUUGCUUCACGUUCAUCUUAAUUUCAUCAUUGAAUCCUUUAUCUGAACAUAUGUAAUUAAUAAGUUAUAAAGACAAGUAUUCACCACAGCGUAUUAGCAAGAAUCAUUGAAUUGGUUUCCCAGAAGCAGAGGAGUCAUCCAAUUCAAAAAUCAAUAUUCAUCCACCAGAACAUUAAUAAUGCAUCCCAAAAAAAAAAGGUCACAAUAUGCAUCAUGUAUGGAGUCUGGAAAACAUUAAUAAUUCAAUUUGGACACGAUACCAUUUACACGUCAGCUUGUUUUUAAUUAAUUUAUUUAUUUACAUUCUUUUUUAUUGCAUGUCCUUUUUUUUCCUCUAGUCUAAAGUUCGAAAGCAUCUAAAUUCUAAACGGAUCCAAAUAUAUAAAAAUUUAACUUGUGAAUAUAGUAGAGUUCAAAUGAAACUCUAAUUUUUAUUUUUUUAAAUAGAAAUAUGGGAUAUUAUCUUUUUACCACCUAUUAUUAUGUUAUCAUUUUAUCCGCUAAUGUUUUUUGUUAUAUCACUUUACCAUCAAAGUUUUCUAAUAUUUAAUUUUUCCCACUUAAUGUUUCAAUUUUAUCAUUUUACUACUAAACCGUUAAAGCUAAUAAAUUUUUUUAUUACAAAAGUUUAUUUUAUCCCUAAACUGUAUAAGUGUAAUUUAACCUUCUAAAUUAAAAAAAUACAAAAUUAAUUAUAUACAAAGAAAUUUUACUUUAAUCAAAUGAUUAUUUUAUACAUUCAAGAUAAUUAAUUGAUAAAAUUAUAAAUGUAUAAUAUAACUUGUAAAAUUCUUAAAGUAUUGAAUAUCUUGAAAUUCCUAAAAUAUUCUUGUACCGUCAGAAAUAUAUUAAUGGAAUGUGAAAAUAUUGAGCCAAAGUCUCUUUUAGCAGUUUAUCUACAAUGCAAAAAGAAGUUGUUGCUUGUGAGAUGAGUGAUUUGGCUUGUUUCCUAGUGUUUUUGGAAGAAAUGAUGCUUUGAUGCUUAGACAAAACAAAAGCUUCUUUUAGCUCGCAUGGAAAUUCUUAUACAAAUGAUCGGCAUUGUAUUAAAUGAUUUAUUCCAUAAAUAUUAUAAUCCUAAAAAGUACAAUGGCCUAAUUAUAUUCUAAGAGUUGCAUAUUAAAAUGAGCAUAAGGAGGGAUCGAGUUUGUGUGAUAUGGCACUAUUCACAUUAGCUUUUUUGUUUUGAGUUUCUUUAAUUAAAAUAAUAAAAAUGAAUAAAAAUACAUAAUACUAAAUAAAAUUAAAAACUUAAAUAUGUCGCGGCUAGUGCUAAUGAACUGUCAGCGACAGUUCAACGGCUACCGACUACCUGUGGCCACCACAUAACAUCGUGUUUUACACAAAAAUUUGGUAAUAUUAGAAUUUUUAUUGUCGAGACCCACUAUGGUGCAAUUAUUAUUAGUAGAAAAGCUUCCAUUCGACGUAAAUUUACAAUAUAAUAAAAAAAAACCGAGACUUUGAAUAUAGAUCUAUGGCAAAUGAAAAUUUCCUUUUAAGUAAUAAUUGCACCAUUGCGAGUCCCAAUAAUAAGAAUUUUAAUGAUACCAAAAUAUAGUUCAAAUAACACUAAAGUAUGGCCCAUAGCAGCCGGCCACAGUUUAUGGUGACUGGCAGUGAAAAUUGUUUAUUUUAAUUAUAUAAAUUUAAAUUAUUAUUCAAUAUAAAUAGUAAUAAAAUAAAAAUGAAUCGUAAAAUUUUAAUUGAACAACAAUAUUAAAUUAAAAUAAAAUUUAUUAUUUUAAGUAAUAUAAUCCGUACUACACUAAGUAUAAUAUUACAUUACAGAUUAAUAUAAUACAAUGUAAUACAAUGCAAAACACACCCCUUACAUUAAAAACAUGUGUAUUAGAAAAAUAAAAUUAAAAAUUAAGAUUAAUAAUUGGGCCUUGAACUGCGAUCCAAUUUUUUAAUACAAGCACGGGCCUGCAAAAUUAGAACCCUAGCUGGCCCUUCGACCAUCUGGUUGAGCCCAAUGUUUUUUUUUUUUUUUUUUUUUAACUCCUUAAUUAAGACCUAGGUAAUUCAGUACAUAACCACUCGGGCAGCAGCCCGAGUGGCCAGGGCUGCUGCCCUCCAACUUAGAGGGCAGCAGUUCGAACCCCCACAAAAGUAUUGUGGGGGUAUUUUCUUCCUCAAUUAAUUUGAGUGAAGGUAGUCUUCUCCCUUACCCAUGAGUGAGGAGUAGACAUCCCUCGAAUAUUUGUGAGGGUUAAAAUCUGGGCAGAGCUCCAGCAUUGAUGUCAGUUGGUCCCAGUAAUAGUCUGAUUUGUAAAUAUCAGUAAUAAUCUCAUGUAUAUGAGUUGUAAUCUGAGCAAUAGUCUCAUGUAAUAAAAAGAAAAAAGGUAAUUCAGUACAUGAAAAAAUUGACAUUAAGUAAAAAUUUAAUUGAUGCGUGACCCGUUGUUUUUUUUGAUAUUAAUCACGAGGUAUCCUGGGGAGGGCCCCAACUGUGGGAGGCACCUUUAAGCCCGUACCACAACCCAGACUAGAAGUCCCCGCUCGAACCGGGAGGCACAGGUUCUCCCAACAAAGGCGACUUCCCUGCGACUCGAACUGGGGAGCAAACACAGUCAAGCCACUUAAGGGGACUCCAUUGCCAGUGGAGCCAACACUUUGUUGGUGCGUGACCCGUUGUUUACUAGUUCAGCAAGUGGUUGAUUUGUCGUAAAUAUCUAUAAAAAUUAUAGGAUGUGUCGUUUUUAUUACCGGAACAUGGAUGAAGACAUAUGAGCACCAGAUAUAUUGUAUUAGCAAGAAUCAUGGGAUUGAUUUCCCAAAACUAGAGGAACUAUCCAACCCAAAAAAACAAUAUUAAUUCAACAACUAGCAGAUGGCAUUAUUGCAAAUUCCAUUAUUUCCAUCGCAUAAUAUAUUCACAGAUAGGUUGAUCAAUUCAAAGAUGAAACACACUACAUAAGUACAUAUGUAAUUUCGCUAACUAAAAAGCAAAUUAAAAUUAAUUACUUCUUGUUAAUAGAGAGUGCUCCAUCCAACUCGUUAGCUAACUCUUGUACCUUGAAAUGAGAAAUUUGAAUGUUCUCAACAUCAAGCUUUUUGAAAUUACUUUGCCUUCUAGUGGCUAAAAAUUUUCCCAAAUUGUAUGCUCUGUAUUUAGCAGGAUUUUGCUCAUUCGUAAGCUCGCCUAAUGGUUUCACCAUUGUGCAAUGUGGUGGGCUGAAGAAAAAUGGAAUUGAAAAUCUUUCCUUCUCAGAAUUCACCGUAACCCUAUGCUCUACACUCUCAUAAACAUCAUUGCUCCAUACCUGCACAAUUACGUAGAUUCUAUUGGCAUUAAAAAAAAAACGAGUAUCGAAUACGAAAUUUUGAUUUUUGACACCAUAUUACUAAUUAUUAACCGUUUGAACAAAAAACUUAAGCUAGCUAUUACGAAUUACCUGAAGAAUGUCACCAACAUUUAUGAUAUAAGCAUCCGAGGUGGGUUUGAUGCGAACCCACUCUCCAUCUGAUUUUCUCUUCACCUCAAGACCGCCAACAUCAUCUUGAGCAAGGAUGGUAAGGGCACCGACGUCCUUGUGUCGACCCACACCUAGAGCUAGGUGAGGAGCUGGGCAUGGCGGAUAGUGAUUAAGUCUAACAGAUCUGGUUGGAUCUUCGAAGAAGCUACUGAACCUGCUUGCUGGGAGUCCCAGGCUUAGGGCUAUAAGUUCCAUCAACUUGUAAGCAAGUUUUUCCACUUCUCUAGCAUAUUCUUCACAUGACUCUCUGUCAAGCAUACCAAAGAUAAAUUCAUAACUAAAGUCCUAUCAUUGAAUCUUUUCUUGCAAAAUUAAACUUUUGCAUUAAUCAAAGUAUAUACGGUGGCUCCAAAAGAUUACAAGUUCUCAUACUGACCAACAACCAAUUAUAACCAUUUGAGUGGUAUUUAACACGUACGAAUCAGCUUCUUAUGGUUGUUUACCUUGUCAAUGAGUACCUCUUAUGGACUAUAUUGUGAGUUCUCUCCAACCAUGUGAAAAUUCACGUCACCAAUUUAGAUUUGCUAAUUACUCUCAAGCUUAUUAAAUUCGAUAACACAAAGAUAGUAAUCAAAAUGUCAAUUAGAUGGCUAAAAAAGGAAAAACUCUUUUAGAUGCUUGUACUAAAGGAUUAGAAUAUUUAUCUCUUGAUUUGAGAUCUCUUGAACCUUUAAGAACUUGUACUAAAAAGAAAAAAUAUAAAUGAAAAACAUAUUGUUCCGAAAAAUAAUGAUAAAGAAACAAAUGAAAACGAUAUAAUUAUUUAUUCAAAUGAAAUAGGUCCACUAUAUUGCAAUGAUCAAAUUAUCGUUAAGUACUCAAACUUCACCAUCACAAUAUAAGAGUUAACUUUACCUUAAUUCAGGAGGAUAAUCAGGCCAUUGAUUGAACGUCUCAGGAACUUCCUUGUCCUCAGGCUCAUGUGAAGCUGCCAUCAAAAUACGCUUAUCUGCAACAAAAUCAAAUACUUCUUUCCAGUCUCUAACAUUUUUGGUAUGCUCGUUGUCAUAGUACCCCACCGCCUUCUUCUCAUCUUUCCUCACCUUCCUUUUCUCCUCCAAUGGCUGCGCGAAGAAUUUUCUCAUAGCAUCUUCUACUUUCUGCCUCUUUUCUAAUGGCGCUCCAUGGUUGAUCACUUGGAAAAAACCCCAUUUCUUGCAUGCAUUACCUAUCUCCACCACAAGGUCAUCAAUGUUUUUGGUGUUGGCGUCAUUAGGAAAGCUCAAAGGUGAGAGAUCGAUCAAGGGUAUGCCUUCAUCUUCAGUGACUGAGAGUUUAGGCCUGUGUUCUAUGGCUUGAACGAAAGCUUCAUCAGCUUCUCCCAUGGCUAUAGCUAAGAAACAAUGUAUUAAAUUCUAAUGUAUAGUUUGAUAUAAAAGAGAGUAAUUGAGGCAGUUUAUUUAUAGUGGGCUAAAGGCUCUUUCAGCCUAGAGGACUUUUGAGCUAAUUAUGUAGUAAGUCUCUAUAUCUUUGAUAAUUACCCAGCAGUUAAUAAAAUUUACAUAAUUUUUUUUUAAUUUUUUAAUCUAUUGCAUGUUAGACUUAUUUUAAUUUUAAAUUAUAUUAAAAAAUAAUAUAAUUUUAUCUUUGAAAAAUUAGUAGCAACCAUUGUAGAAUUACCCAUAAAGCCGCAUUGUGUAAUUUUAAAAAAUACAGAUACUAAAAGUAUAAUUGACCCAAACCCUAAGUGGUAAAGGAAAAUUUACUGUAACCAUGCAAGAUAGGGAGUUAACAACAUAACAUUGAAUCUGGAUGGGAUUUUCGGGCAGGGAAGAGUUGGAAAAUUGUGUGACGUUUGUGCUUGCGUGGUUAAUUUUGUCUGAAGCGUCACAAAAUGGAUCAUAUAAUAAUAGCAGCGAAAGAAUCAAUGAUUCACUUAGUGGACAAGAGACAUACAUAGCCAAAGCACCAAGCAGGGUUUAAGGGACGAUUAUUUCACCGUGAUUAAUUAAUAAUUAAGUAAUUUUCACACCUAGUGAUAGAUUCGGUGUGUUUGAGGACUUUUCGUUGGUAAUCAGUUGAAAUUUAGUGCAGCAAAUAUUCUUGACAGCUGUACGUACUAAUAAUGGUUGAGCACACACUAUGAAAAUAUUGAGUGCUCGCGAAUGCCACUUCAUGUUUUACCUUUUUAAUUAAAGUUCCUGACUAGAGUUCCAUGCUUCUUUAAUUUGCUUAACACAUAGUAUAAUAGUUUCUUGAUCAACCAUCUAAGUGAUUUUGUCUAAGGGUGAAAUGCUUUAAAAUGAAGUGAGGAGGUGCUCAACACUCAGUCAACGAGUGAUUUGUUAGUUUGGUAUUAACUAUUAAGUUGGAAGAUAGAAAAGAAGAGAAAAUAAAUAUUUGUCUAUUGACGUAUGACAUGUCAUUUACAACUUCAUCACAUAGUAAACCUAUGGUAAAUAUUAAUAAGUAGCAUGAUAUGUCGUUUUUGUUUUCAGAACAUGGAUGACAUUGUGUAUGUAUUUUACUUUGAAUUAAAAAAUGUAUGACAUCUAGUUUAUAAAUUAAUCAAAUAUAUGACUUUUUGUUUAUAUUUUGAGCACAUAAAUGACAUUACAUACAUAUUUCACCCCUGAGUAUAAGCGUACGACAUGUCAUUUAUAAUUUAAUUAAAUUAUUAUAAGGCAUUGCGGUGGCUAAUUAAAUAAGUUAUUUUUCUGCUGUGCGGAUAAAAUAAGUUGUUGAGUAAAAAAAAAGUUUAUUGUUUAGUAAACUGUGUUGUUAGAAUUGUUGUAAGCUUAAAAAGUAGUGUAUAUGUGUUUGGUAAUAUUGUUUUAUUAUAUAAUAACUAAAAAUAUAUAAAUUUAAAUUACCUUUUAUUUUUUAGAGUAUGUUUAGUGAUAUUUAGACAUACAUUUUUCUUUUAAAACACGUAAAAUUAUAUAAAGUGAAAAAAUCAAUUAAAUAAAAAUAUAAUGAACUUUAUAAAAUGAUAAAAAAUUUAUACUAGUACAUAAUUCAAAUAAAAUGAAGUAAUAUGCAUUACAUUCACAUUAAACUUUUUACAAUAAACACCUUGGUUAUCGAAAAAAUAUAAAUAUAUUGAACGUUAAAAGUCAUGGUUAUGAAAUUGCAAUUUCAAAAGUUAUCUUUAGCCUUUAUGUGAAAUUGUUCAUAGUUCAAAGAAAAUUUACAUAAUCAUAUGCAAAUCUUAUUGAUUCUUAUAAUAGAAAAAUAAAAGUAUAAUAAAAAAUAUGAAUUUAUAGGAUAAAACUUUGAUACUGAAGAGAACGUAUAGUAGCGGUAAUUUGAUUAUGACAAUAAUAUGAUAUCUAAUAGUUUAUAUAUUAGAGUGCAUAGAAAAAUAAGACAUAAUUAUCUUUUUGUUAAAAUAUUAAAAUUAUAAUAAGAAUUUUAAAAAUGUAUCAUAACUUAUUUAAUGAGCUACUUACCAAAAAAAGGAAAAAAAAAAAAAACUCAGGAACAAAACUCUACCUACUUUUAAAAGUUAUUAUCAAAAUGGAGAAAAUUAUAAAAUAAACAACUUUUAUGAAAUUUAUCAAAUAUAUUUUUUUUGUUAAAAAUUUUGAAAUAAGUAACUUAUUGAAUUUUAACCUCAAUCCCAAAUGAUGCCUAAAUGAAAACUCACUUAAUAUAAAAAAGGAAAAAAUCAAUUUUAAUUAUAAAAUAAAUUGUUUCUAAUGACCACAAUGACGACAACAACAACAAUAAUAACAACAACAACAAUAUCUUUAUGAUAUUUUGAUUUAUUUUUUAUAUUAUUCAUAUCCAAUAAUAACAAUGUCAUAAUUUAAUAAUUUAUUGAUUAAUUAAUAUUAAAUAAAUUAAUAGAUUUUCCACGAAUAAUGUAAUAGUACACAUUUGGUAAUAAAAGGAAUUGGCUACACAGCAUCAGUUUCUCAAGUACCUUUUAAUUUUCUCCAAGACUAUUGAAACUUGGCACGAUUUUGUACCUCAAGAAAUGACUAUUGAGAUAUGAUAAAAGCGAUCGAGAAAUCACUAAUACCCAGAAGUUUAAGCUACUUAGGCAAGAUAGAAAUGACUGCAGUCAUGCAGAUAUAGAAAAGCAAAUGCAGACAUUAAGUAACCGCCAUAUCUGAAAGCUAAGCUUGUUGGGAAGAGCCUAUCAGUUACAAUAUAGAAGUUCUACCAUAUGCCUUGUUCUUAAUCUACAGGCAUGAUGUAAAUGACUGCUAAAACAAAGCAUAGUUCUAACAGUAAUAUUGAAGUUCUAGCAUGUGCCUCAUACAUCAAGGAACUGGAUCGCCAGAAUUCAGCCCGUUUACUAGCUCGUUGAAGGGCUUCAGCAAGGCAUGGUGAGCAGGGGAUGAAGAAAAGUGGAAGCGAGAACCUCCACCACUCUUUAUGCUCUGCACUCUGACAUUUAUCAUUGCUCCAAACUUGCAAAAACACACCCCAUUCACAAGUUUAUUUUAACAUAUUAAAUAUUUAUUUUUACAGAAAACUAGAAAACGGGAUUUAUUGUUUUCAUUUUCAGAUAUUGGUUUCAAAACAAGCUGUAUAUUAAAUUCUUUCUCAAUUCUAAAAAAAUCACAUCAACAAACAAUAUUUUCACUCUUUAAAAGAAAUUUUAAAACCACCAUUGAAGACAAUGCCAAAAAUGCCUUUUUUUAGAGUUUUUAGAUGUUGGUUGAAAUUGACACAAGUGCUUAUCAAAGUUAUAACACACUAGAGGAAAGCCCUCAAACACUGUUUAAUGAAUAAGGAAGAGACUUGUAUGUUUCUUGUGUUAACUGGAUACUGUGUUAUGCUGGGUUUGCACAUCCUUUGUGUUGGACCAAAACCAGCAAGAAACCGAUUUUGAUCCCCUAAGAUCCACUCAAUCAAAUCUUUAACUUAAGAAUGUUUGAUAACCAAAAUGAACUUGAAGAUAAAACUGAUACGAUAAUCUGGAAACACAGAAAUCGAACCAACAAGAUGCUGAAACAAUCACACACACAAACACAAGAGGAUUAUAGUGGUUCAACCACAAUGUGGCCUACAUCUACUGUUAAAAGGAGAACAAGCUUUCACUGAUUUGGCUUAUCAAGAUACAAGUUUUUUUAGAGAAACUGUCACACUCUCGAUCUAGCCACAUAACAACUCACGAGGCUAAAUAUACAACAAAAGAUUGCUUCUAGAAAUAACCCCAGAAGCCAGCACAACGUCACUGGCAGAAAUUUCCCGCGCCUUUUAACAGCUUUACCAGCCGCUUAAAACAGCUACUGGACACGUGUUACAAUCUCGUCAAAAACGCUGCCUCCAUCUGCCGUUUUGAGCAAGUAAUGCACGUGUUACAUCACGUGCCCAACCUAUUCAACUAGCUGACUGAGUAGCCUUGUCAUACAGCGUUCUAAUUCGAGAUAAUCGACAUGUCACCCAUCUCUGGACUAAAAAACCGACACGUCGUACACGACCACAAACCCAGAUUUGUAGUUUAGUUCAACACGUUGGCUUUUCUUUCUUAUUGGGAAGGCAUUGGCAGAUAAGUGAUUCUAAACACACCAGAGAAAAUUAAAAGAAUUGUAAAAGUGAGUGGAAAUGAGUGAAAAACUAACAAUCAAUAUCCAUGAUUUACAGAGAGACUCCGUAGGCUUGAACACUGACUUAAAACUAUGUUUCCCAGCAUGAACUCUUUGAUAAGUAAAAUAAGUGUAAAUUUCACUCAUUUUUCUUUUCUUUUCGACAUAUGAAAAAAGAAAAUAAAUAGAUGAAUAAAAGAGCGUUCUUACGUACAUGUAGUUUAGCAUCUUGAUUCAACUACUUGGAACUCUUAAAGAGGCACAACAACCUUUCGAAAGAAUUGUGUUACCUGCAUUUUCUUUUAUAUGCAGAAAGUUAUAUUUUUUAUGUCAAAAUUAGUCUCCCCCCCCCCCCAAAGGAGAAAGAUCAGUUGAUAAGGCCUUGACAUACCUCUCAAAUAGACGCAUGCAAUAAUUUGAACUCUCCUCUAUAGAGAACAGAUCGACAAAUGGAAUGUGUGCUAUUUUAUGCCAAUUUUCACCAAUUUUCUUCUUGCAUCGCUUUUAUAAUUCAGGAUAACCUCGGAGGUUCAAAAAUAGAUUGAUAAGAUUCUUGGUGCUUGCAGGAAGACAUCGGAAAGUAAUUUUAUUAAUUGAUGGUUUACAUAAAGAAACUGAAGAUUCAAAACAAGACUUCAAUUCUAAGUUAUUGAGUUGAACACCAUCAAAAGCAGAAUUGAUAUAACAACAUGACAACAUAAAUAGUGGUGUAGGAGAAGUAGUAGAGGAAGGAAUACUGUAAGAUAAGAAAGAAGAUGGUGAUGAUGAUGAUGGCGAAGAUUUGAGUAACAGCCUGUAUAAUCCUUUCUCAGCAAGACCUUGUAGAAGUACCUGCCUCUUUAGAGAAUACUUUACAUAGCAGAUGUUACCAACAAAUUCAACAUAUAAGUGAUUAUCAGAUGUAAGUUUAGAAAUGCUCAGCAAGUUCUUUGUAAUGGAAGGAACAAGUAGAAUAUCUUUAAGUGCUAUUUGUGGGUGAUGGUGUUUAGUAUUUGAACUUUUAAAAGUAAGGAAUGCAUCACCAAUGUGUGUUAUAGGCAAACCUUGGCCAUUUCCAAUGAUAAGUUGAUCAGAACCUCUCAAUUCUUCUCUAAUGUUCAUAUUAGCUACGUUAUUAGUCAAGUGAUGUGUUGCUCCACUAUCAAGGUACCACCCUUGAUCAGCUGGUCCUUCAAAAUUUGCAAUAUAAGCAACUCCAAAUAUAGAGAAUGUGUCAAGUAUAUAGUAUGGAUUCAUAUCAGAUGGCUGAUAUGAAGAUUAAUUCAUAGCAUGAGAGUUAGCAAUAUAAGGCCCAAAUUCAGUAAAUGGUUCAAAGUUGGUCAUAUAAGCAGCCUUAGAUCCUCUAACUCUACCAAAAGACCUUACUGGAGCUAUAUAAUUUUUAGUAUACCUAUGCCAACAUGCAUCCGCAGUGUGACUAGAUUUAUGGCAAAUUUGGCAAAUAAGAGCAUUGUCACUAGAUUCAUCAGUAAAUGAGUCAUGAGACAUAUUGAAGACAGAUUUGUUGUGUGAUGAUGCCUUGUGAAUUGGCAUUUGUGGUGAAUAUCCUCUAGCAAGGUUAUAACUACCAUUAUCAUUGGGAAAUCCUUUGGAAUACGCAUGAAAGAACAUUCCUCUUCCACCAUAGUGAUUCAUGUUUCCAACAUUAAAAUGUCCAUGAUAUCUACUACAUCCAUAACCUCUUCUUCUGCCACUAUCCCUUCCUAGUGAAUAGUUUGAAUUAACCAUUCCAUAAUUCGCAUUAAACACAUACUUAGCUAUCUGAUUAUGUUCCAAUCUAGCCUCAUGUGUUAAGAGCAAAGCAUAAGCAUCAUCAUAUGACAUUAUAUCAGCAGUGAUGAUAGAUGCAAGAUCUAAGUAACUAGUCCCAAUCCGUCUAACACUUGCAUCAACAAAUCUCUUUCUGAUAAAGGACUACCAACACAAGUAAGUUUAUCAGCAAGAAUUUUAACUUUCAAACAAUAUUCUUCAACAGUCAUGGAUUCUUUUCUAAGUACACUCAUUUUAUAUCGAAGCUGCAUAACCUUGGCCUCAGAUUGAGUACCAAAAUGUUUUUCAAUAGAUUUCCACACAUCAUAAGAUCUAUCACAAUUAAGUACGGAGCUCAAAAUACCUUCACUUAUAGUUGACAGAAACCAGCCAAGGAGAGUUUGAUCUUUAGCUUGCCAAUUAACAUAAGCUGGAUUAAUAAUUUUCUGCACCGAUCCAUCAUCUGCUGUGUGAUUAAUAGUUUGAUCUUCAUUUUGAGUGUAUCUUGAAUCAUCGUCUCGAACAAAGUCUUGAAUAAGAGAUCUCCAGUAUAAUUCAUUGAAUAUCUCAUUACCAAAAUCUUCAACUUCAAGAGUUCCCUUGGAUGAAAAAAACCAUUAGCCAUCCAAAGAUGAAUUAGACGCUCUUUCUUAAUUUUAGAAUGUUUAGGAAAUACAGCACAAAAAGCAAAACAUUGUUUCAAUUCCGCUGGUAAGUUGGAAUAGCUCAAUCGUAAGACAGGCAAAAUGGAAAUUUUCUCCUGGGGUAAGUUCCAUAGUUUACUGUCUUUUACAUGUAGCCACUCGUUUUAAUCGCUUUUAAAGCGCAUCAGGUUCCUAAAGUCUUUGCAGCUAGCGAGACACCAUUACACUUCCUCACUAUUUCCUUGGCGAUUGCUAAAAUGUCAUGUUUGCUUAUGCCUAAAGAUUAUGAUCAAUGGAUUUGUUGAUAUGAUCAUCAAAAUCAACUGAAUUUUAUUAGAAGUUGAAAACCAAAAUCAGCUGGAUUUUAUGACAAUCUAAUAAAACAUUCAAUUUCUAGUGGGAAUUUAUUAUAUGGAUGUUUAUUUUAUUGGUUUAUCAAAAGGGAGACUUCAAAUAAAGAGAAGAGAGGUUGAAUGUGAAAUUAAGAUGCACGGUUGGUGUAAUGACAAAAAUUUUAAUUUUUUUAUUCAAUAAUUUUAUCACCUGACCUUAAUUUUUAUUCGAAUUAAGGGUGUACAUUUUCAAACAUACAAAGCUUCACACUUAAAAUAUAUUGAUAUCAAAAAAUUUCAUUUUAAUUAUAUAUCUUGCUUCACGUUCUAUCUUUCAUUGUUGAAUCGUUUAUAUGAACAUACAUGGUUAAUAAUUAAUAUUAAUGGAGACAAAUAGGCAGCACAUUUUUUACUGAUUCCACAAAAUAGGCACCACUUUUUUUUUUGAUAUUAGUCACGAGGUAUUUUGGGGAGGGCCCCAACUGUGGGAGGCACCACUUUAUUUAUUGAUUUCACAUUACGGAAAUAAUAUUUAUUAAUGUGAGACACUGACACCAACUAGCAGAUGACAUUAUUGCAAAUUCCAUUAUUCCCAUGACAUAAUAUAUUCACAUAUAGGUAGAAUUCGAAGAUGAAACACAAUAGGUGUGUGAAUUUAUAACUAAAUUAAUUACUUGUUAAUAGAGAGUAGUCCAUCCAGCUUAUUGGCUGACUCUUGCACCUUGAAAUGAUAAAUUUGAAGGUUCUCAACAUCAAGCUUCUUCAAAUUGCUGUGCAAUCUAGAAGUAAAAUAUUUUCCCCAAUUGUAUGCUCUGUAUUUAGCAGGGUUUUGCUCAUUUAUAAGCUCAUCUAAUGGCUUCAUAAUUGUGUAAUGAGAUGGGUUGAAUAAAAUUGGAAUUGAAAGCCUUUCCUUCUCAGAAUUCACCACAACCCUAUGCUCCACAGUCUCAUAAGCAUCAUUGCUCCAUACCUGCACAAUUACAUAGAUUUUAUGGAGACCAAAAAAGCAUAUACAUAGAUUUAAUGAAACCGAUAUUGUAUAUGAAUAUAUUUUAUUGAGACCAAAAAAGCAUAUACUGAACACGAAAAUUUGAUUUUGAUACCAUAUUAAUAAUUAUUAAACGUUUGACCAAAAAGCUUAAACUAGCUAUUACCUGAAUACAAUCACCGAUAUUUAUGAUAUAAGAAUUCGGGAUGGGUUUGACGCGAGCCCAUUCUCCGUCUGAUUUUUUCUUUACCUCAAGACCUCCGACAUCAUCUUGGGCAAGGAUGGUAAGGGCACCGCUGUCCUUGUGUCGACCCAAGCCGAGAGUUAGGUGGGGAGCGGGGCACGGUGGGUAGUGAUUAAGUCUAGCAAAGGUGGUUUGAUCUUUGAAGAAG
rnacentral:lncRNA from 1 species